rnacentral:rRNA from 1 species
CCUACGGGUGGCAGCAGUGGGGAAUCUUGGGCAAUGGGCGCAAGCCUGACCCAGCAACGCCGCGUGAAGGAAGAAGGCUUUCGGGUUGUAAACUUCUUUUCUCAGGGACGAAGCAAGUGACGGUACCUGAGGAAUAAGCCACGGCUAACUACGUGCCAGCAGCCGCGGUAAUACGUCGGUGGCAAGCGUUAUCCGGAUUUACUGGGGGUAAAGGGCGUGUAGGCGGGAAAUCAAGUCAGAUGUGAAAACCAUGGGCUAAACCUGUGGCCUGCAUUUGAAACUGUUUUUCUAGAGUUGGAGAGAGGUAAGCGGAAUUCGAGGUGUAGCGGUGAAAUGCAUAGAUAUCACGAAGAACUCCGGUUGCGAAGGCAGCAUACCGGCUCCAUACUGACGCUGAGGCACGAAAGCGUGGGGAUCGAACAGGAUUAGAUACCCUUGUAGUC